rnacentral:tRNA from 1 species
CGGGGGUUGUAGGGCAUUCUAACUUUUGCUUUGGGAGCAGAGGGUCGGAGGUUCGAAUCCUCUCGCCCCGACCA